AUUGAACGCUAGCGGGAUUCUUUACACAUGCCCGUCGAACGCGUGGCGGACGGGUGAGAACUAUAUCGGAAAGUGCCCAGUAGCGGGGGAUACCUACUCGAACUAGUGGCUUAUACCGCCUACUCUUGGCGCGGCCGGUAUCGGAUUAGCUAGUUGGUGGGGUACAGGUUCUCCAAGGCAACGAUCCGUAGCUGGUUUGAGAGGCAGACCAGCCACACUGAGACGGAGACACGGCACAUACUCCUACGGGAGGCAGCAGUGGGGAAGUUUGGACAAUGGGGGAAACCCUGAUCCAGCCAUCCCGCGUGUAUGAGAAGGCCUUCGGGUUGUAAAGUACUUUUGGCAGAGAAGCGGUAUCUGCAGAAUAAGCACCGGCUAACUACGUGCCAGCAGCCGCGGUAAUUC
rnacentral:rRNA from 1 species